rnacentral:rRNA from 1 species
AGAGUUUGAUCAGGGCUCAGAUUGAACGCUGGCGGCAGGCUUAACACAUGCAAGUCGAGCGGCAGCGGAAAGAAGCUUGCUUCUUUGCCGGCGAGCGGCGGACGGGUGAGUAAUGUCUGGGGAUCUGCCCGAUGGAGGGGGAUAACUACUGGAAACGGUAGCUAAUACCGCAUAAUGUCGCAAGACCAAAGUGGGGGACCUUCGGGCCUCACACCAUCGGAUGAACCCAGAUGGGAUUAGCUAGUAGGUGGGGUAAUGGCUCACCUAGGCGACGAUCCCUAGCUGGUCUGAGAGGAUGACCAGCCACACUGGAACUGAGACACGGUCCAGACUCCUACGGGAGGCAGCAGUGGGGAAUAUUGCACAAUAGGGGAAACCCUGAUGCAGCCAUGUCGCGUGUGUGAAGAAGGCCUUCGGGUUGUAAAGCACUUUCAGCGGGGAGGAAGGCAAUGGCGUUAAUAGUGUCAUUGAUUGACGUUACCCGCAGAAGAAGCACCGGCUAACUCCGUGCCAGCAGCCGCGGUAAUACGGAGGGUGCGAGCGUUAAUCGGAAUUACUGGGCGUAAAGCGUACGCAGGCGGUCUGUUAAGUCAGAUGUGAAAUCCCCGGGCUUAACCUGGGAACUGCAUUUGAAACUGGCAGGCUAGAGUCUCGUAGAGGGGGGUAGAAUUCCAGGUGUAGCGGUGAAAUGCGUAGAGAUCUGGAGGAAUACCGGUGGCGAAGGCGGCCCCCUGGACGAAGACUGACGCUCAGGUACGAAAGCGUGGGGAGCAAACAGGAUUAGAUACCCUGGUAGUCCACGCUGUAAACGAUGUCGAUUUGAAGGUUGUGGUCUUGAGCCGUGGCUUUCGGAGCUAACGCGUUAAAUCGACCGCCUGGGGAGUACGGCC